AAGAUAGGAUUACAGGCAAAAACGCAACGUCCUGUUGCAUCGCCUGCACUAGCCCAUCCUGGGCG
rnacentral:sRNA from 1 species